ACUUUGCAUUUUAGUAUUUUAAUUAUGUUUGGAGAUUUAUCUGUUGUAAUGUUCAGUUUAAUGUUUUCUCUUGCUUUAAUGUUGUCUAUUCUGUUCAAUUUUGAUAAUUUAAUUCUGAUGUUAGCUUAGGUUAGACAGGUUGGUUAUUAAUAAAAUUGCAUUACUGUUUUCAGUCUGUCUUAGAAACCGUUUUUAAAUCUGUGUUUAAUUAUUAGUUGCGUCUGUGUUUUGAUUUUAGUUCAUCCGCAUUCACCACAAACCUUUCAAACCCCCCCACUUCGUGUUUGACCUGAUUCUCGAACCACAGUUUGGUCCUUGAGAGACGACCUAGGGGUCAUUCCCUUGCUAUACUGCAUUUCUAAUAUGCAAUGAAAUUUGUAUGGGCCGCGACACCUAUCAAAUUUUGGCGUCGUUGCUGGGGACCAACAGUUCAGUUUUAGGUCUUUUGUUCUGUUAGUGUGUGUUGUGUUUUGUCUUGUGUUGUGAGUGUGAUGUUUUGUUUGUGUGUCGUCAUGUGUUGUUGCAUUUAGAUAGCUUUAGUUUUAUAUUUUCAUUGCAUUCUUCUUUCCUCCUCCCUUUUUACAUGUCUACCUAUUUUGGUUGUGUGGAUACUGUUUCUUCUACCUGUGCCUACGACUAUGAUUCUCCUCCU
rnacentral:lncRNA from 1 species